AUGAAUUGGACUCCGCCUAUGUCGGCAAUGAUGUUGAAAGGUCUUUCAGAGGUGGUGGCAAGAGGUGCCAAGACUGACAAAGGACUCAAAGAGGCUGAAAAAUUGAAAGUUGCAAAGUGUAUAUCUGCUUUUGUUGGUUAUGACGUGUCUAUUACUCAAGUGCACAAUCAUAUUCGCAAGUGGCGGAAUAUGUGGACAAGGAUUGUUUAUUUGAAGGGUUUAAGUGGGGCACUUUGGGAUGAUGACAAGAAGAUGAUAGUUCUAGAAGAACAACACUAUUUGGGCCACACUCAGGAUCAUCCAACAGAUGCUGAAUUGCUAAAUUUCCCACUUGAGAACUACAACUAUAUGGAAAAUUGCUUUUCUAAUAAGCAAGCCACCGGGAAUUAUGCAAUGGCCACCGGUGUGCCACUCAGAACGCCUAUUGUUGUGGAAGACAAAGAUAAACCCAAUGUCAUGGAGGGGCAAGGAACAACUGAUGAGGUAUUGCAACAUCUUCCGGGGUCUAACUCCGUACUUCCUACUGCUAGUGCCUCUUAG
rnacentral:rRNA from 1 species